GNAGGGGGCAAGCGUUAUCCGGAUNUACUGGGUGUAAAGGGAGCGUAGACGGAUGGACACGUCUGAUGUGUAAGGCUGGGGCUCAACCCCGGGACUGCAUUGGAAACUGCCCGUCUUGAGUGCCGGAGAGGUAAGCGGAAUUCCUAGUGUAGCGGUGAAAUGCGUAGAUAUUAGGAGGAACACCAGUGGCGAAGGCGGCUUACUGGACGGUAACUGACGUUGAGGCUCGAAAGCGUGGGGAGCAAACAGGAUUAGAUACCCUGGUAGUCCGCACGGUAAACGAUGGAUGCCCGCUGUUGGUCUGAACAGGUCAGCGGCCAAGCGAAAGCAUUAAGCAUCCCACCUGGGGAGU
rnacentral:rRNA from 1 species